CUACGGGGUGCACCAGUGGGGAAUCUUGUGCAAUGGGCGAAAGCCUGACACAGCAACGCCGCGUGCGGGAUGAAGGCCUUCGGGCUGUAAACCGCUUUCAGCAGGAACGAAGAUGACGGUACCUGCAGAAGAAGGAGCGGCCAACUACGUGCCAGCAGCCGCGGUGACACGUAGGCUCCAAGCGUUGUCCGGAUUUAUUGGGCGUAAAGAGCUCGUAGGCGGUUUAGUAAGUCGGGUGUUAAAACUCUGGGCUCAACCCGGAGAGGCCAUCCGAUACUGCUGUGACUUGAGUUCAGGAGGGGAGCGGGGAAUUCCUAGUGUAGCGGUGAAAUGCGCAGAUAUUAGGAGGAACACCGGUGGCGAAGGCGCCGCUCUGGACUGAAACUGACGCUGAGGAGCGAAAGCAUGGGUAGCAAACAGGAUUAGAUACCCUCGUAGUC
rnacentral:rRNA from 1 species